rnacentral:rRNA from 1 species
UACAGAGGAUGCAAGCGUUAUCCGGAAUGAUUGGGCGUAAAGCGUCUGUAGGUGGCUUUUUAAGUCCGCCGUCAAAUCCCAGGGCUCAACUCUGGACAGGCGGUGGAAACUGCCAAGCUGGAGUACGGUAGGGGCAGAUGGAAUUCCGGGUGUAGCGGUGGAAUGCGUAGAGAUCGGAAAGAACACCAACGGCGAAAGCACUCUGCUGGGCCGACACUGACACUGAGAGACGAAAGCUAGGGGAGCGAAUGGG